CACAUGCUCCCUAGAUCCACCUUUGGGAUGUAGCUGUUGUGCCUUGCUGGUAAAUCUCUUUGCACCCUGGUGCUAGGUUCUCCGAUGUGCUGGCAGGUGACAUUCACCAGCUCUAGUGGCUGUACAGUCAAAGGUGCAAGGUCAUUGCCAUGGUAAUGUAAUAUACCUGCAUAGUUGCUCCUCUGUUCUGAUGUGAAUAACCUGUUACUCCAGGCUGUUUCUGCCAUCAGGAUCUUGCUGCUAUGUGGAUACA